rnacentral:rRNA from 1 species
UACGGAGGGUGCAAGCGUUUAAUCGGAAUUACUGGGCGUAAAGCGUGCGUAGGCGGUUCGUUAAGUCUGUUGUGAAAGCCCCGGGCUCAACCUGGGAAUGGCAAUGGAUACUGGCGAGCUAGAGUGUGUCAGAGGAUGGUGGAAUUCCCGGUGUAGCGGUGAAAUGCGUAGAUAUCGAGAGGAACACCUGCGGCGAAGGCGGGUUGCUGGGCUGACACUGACGCUGAUGCGCGAAGCCAGGGAGCGAACGGG